rnacentral:lncRNA from 10 species
GGAGGGCGAGAGGACUGAGUGUGCUGAGCCCCCCCGGGACGAACCCCCGGCUGAUGGAGCUCUGAAGCGGGCAGAGGAGCUCAAGACUCAGGCCAAUGACUACUUCAAAGCCAAGGACUACGAGAACGCCAUCAAGUUCUACAGCCAGGCCAUCGAGCUGAACCCCAGCAAUGCCAUCUACUAUGGCAACCGCAGCCUGGCCUACCUGCGCACUGAGUGCUAUGGCUACGCGCUGGGAGACGCCACGCGGGCCAUUGAGCUGGACAAGAAGUACAUCAAGGGUUAUUACCGCCGGGCUGCCAGCAACAUGGCACUGGGCAAGUUCCGGGCCGCGCUGCGAGACUACGAGACGACGGAGUCUCACUCUGUCGCCAGGCUGGAGAGCAGUGGCGCGAUCUCGG